GACGAACGCUGGCGGCGUGCCUAAUACAUGCAAGUAGAACGCUGAAGAGAGGAGCUUGCUCUUCUUGGAUGAGUUGCGAACGGGUGAGUAACGCGUAGGUAACCUGCCUUGUAGCGGGGGAUAACUAUUGGAAACGAUAGCUAAUACCGCAUAACAAUGGAUGACACAUGUCAUUUAUUUGAAAGGGGCAAUUGCUCCACUACAAGAUGGGCCUGCGUUGUAUUAGCUAGUAGGUGAGGUAAUGGCUCACCUAGGCGACGAUACAUAGCCGACCUGAGAGGGUGAUCGGCCACACUGGGACUGAGACACGGCCCAGACUCCUACGGGAGGCAGCAGUAGGGAAUCUUCGGCAAUGGGGGCAACCCUGACCGAGCAACGCCGCGUGAGUGAAGAAGGUUUUCGGAUCGUAAAGCUCUGUUGUAAGUCAAGAACGGGUGUGAGAGUGGAAAGUUCACACUGUGACGGUAGCUUACCAGAAAGGGACGGCUAACUACGUG
rnacentral:rRNA from 1 species